UGAAUCAUGAUGAUUGUGAAUCUGUUUUUCAGUGAGGAAUGAAACUGCAGUGACUCCAAACUCAGAUGAUCUGAAUGAAGUGACUCUCCAUCGUUCAGGUAAACUCCUGUGCUUCUGUGUUUCAGUAUUGAUCAUUUUUAUUGAUCAGAUGUGUAU
rnacentral:lncRNA from 1 species